CGAGAAGGCCAGUUUACUCACUGCUGUACUUUUCCCUCUCUCCAACACUGAAAUAUUACAUAAUUAAUGCUUUCUGAGAGAAUCAUCUUUUCUAUAACUUGUUUAUGCCUAAGGAAGAGAAACAAUAACAUACACAGAGGCUUUGGUUUUUACAUUUCUCUAUGGCAUGGCUUGAUUGUGUGGCACAGGGCAUUGCUCACCUCAGGGUCUAGUGGAGAGCUUGGCACACUAAUUAGGGGCAUUUUACACUGACUCAGCCUCUUCCUGGAUAUCUGCAGGCUUCUGCCUUUCGAAUACCUGCCGACUUUUGUUUAGAAAGGCACAGUGAUUAGCCCCCAGUGUCUUUUUCAAGCAGAGCUUUACUUAAUGCUCACUCACAAUCUUUGUCAUACAGUGCCAGACAGAUCUCUCUCCUCUUGACCCAGAGGAGAUAGUAAGUUAAGACACAGCAGUACUUUGAGCCCUUCUUGUGGCCUAUAUCUCUACCCAGGCCUCCAAGAUUCUCCCUAAUUGUUCAAGAUUCCUAAGCAACCAAAUGCCACAUCAUGUCUCUACAAACCUUUCUAUAGUUCCCAAGUAACUCAUAAUUUCUCAGUGAAAUCGAAGAUGUUGAUUAUUCUAUUUGUAACAUCUUUUUUUGCUAUAAGAUAAAAUAUAUACACACAAAAAUUAUAAAAUGUAUAACUUAAUGAGGUAUUAUUAGAUAAACACUCACUGCAACCCAGUUCAAGAAAGAGAACUUUGCUGGCCAAUCCAGACACCUCUUCAUCCCAAUCAUGGCCAAUCUCUUUCCUCAAAAGUGAACACUAAUUCGAUCUUUAUAUUAUACUAAUCACUUCUUUGUAUUUUAUCACCCAAGUGGACAUCUUUAUACUCUACAGUUUAAUCUUCCAGUUUAAAAAUAUAUUAUAGCUUUGUUAUUUAAUCUGUAGGUUUCCCCUCCUAUAAAACUCCUAAGAUUUUAUUUCCUUAUAUCUGUUGAACAAACUGGAUCACUUGGCUUAUAGAUUUUUCCACAGUCUAGACUUUGCUGAUUGAAUGCUCAUGGUACAGCUCAACGUCUUCUUCUGCCCUCUGUAUUUUUUGCAACCAGCAGCUGAAUCCAGAAGCCUAAUCAGGCUCAUGUUUAAUCCCUUUGGCAACACUAGAAGUUGUGUGAUGUUCUUUGUCAUCUUUGUCAUAAGGCACAUGAUGUCUGGCUGUUGCCCUUUUCGUGCCAGGAGAUGUUGGUGCUCAGUCCCUGGGUCCAUUAAUUCACUGGAGGUUGAAAAAAUGGUGACAUUCUAAUUCUUUAUUUCUUUUUUAUUUUUCUGAAAGUAUGUAUUAUAGACUACAUUUAUAAAGGGACAAUGUCUCUCUCUCUCAUGCUUUUUGUACACUUGGUGGUACAGUUCAUACAGAACAGAUAGGAUAAGUACAUGAUUCUUUCUUUCAACUUUUAGAAGAAGAUGGCUUUCAGCAUAUAGGCUUACAGAGCUCCCUCCUCUCUAAUUUUCACAUAGUGUUCAAAGAUACCGUGGCCUUCUUUCUGAAACUUCUCUGUUUUGUUCCCUGCAAUUUACUUAGAAUUAUUUUACCUUAUCCUCUUAUUUCUAAUCUGCUCAAUGCCAAAUCUCCUCUUGGCAGUUUCUUCUCAGUGUGGACUUCUGUUUGGAAAAGGAUGCAUUGGCAGCUUAGUUUUAAAUUUUCAUGGUAGCCAAUCUAGAACAGCUCCUUCAAGCAUUACUGUAGAUUCUCUUUCUAGAACGGACAAAAUUAUUCCUAGUUUCAGCUGCUAUUCUAAAAGUAGUCCACAGCAUUUUUAAGCAAAUAAAUAUUAACUGUUUUUAAGUUGUAGUCUCAGGUACUUCAGACAUCUCUUGCUUCUUUCUGCUUCUGCCAGCACAGAUGCUAAUGUUGUUCAGCUGUGUCGCUGUUGGGAGGCUGCCCUCACACACUUGUAUUUGGAACUCAUGGGGAUACCUGUCGCUUGGUUUUGUUGUAAGUGUUGUUCAUGAGUUUUGGUUUCUCUAUCCAAAUUUUCUGUUAGUUUUUAUUCAGAUAAAUUUAAAAAAAUAUGUUGUUGCUACAGCAUCUUUCCAGAACUCCCUCAAAUUAAUCUAAAUUUUGCUUCAUAUUCAGGCAUCAUUGCUGAUGUUAUGAAAAUAUUGGAUCAGUGAAUACCAAAUCUGUAACCCUGAUACUCCCAUGUCUCAAAAGUUCUCAUUCUUCUCCUUCCUGCUGCCACAUGACAAAGGAUGUGUUUGACUCCCCUUUCAUCAUGAUUGCAAGUUUCCUGAGGCUUCCCAAGCCAUGCUGAACUGUGAGUCAAUUAAACCUCUUUUCUUUAUAAAUGACCUAGUUUCAGGUAGUUCUUUACAGCAAUGCGAGAACAGACUAAUACAUGGACUUCUCAGCAUCCCAAAUUUUAUUAUAAAUUGCCCAGUCUCAGAUAUUCUGUUACAUCAGGACAAACAGACUAAGACACUACUGUGUGUCAGGCCCAAUUUUAGUUUUGCAGGAUAGAGCCAGUGACAAAGACAAGUUUCUACCUUCUAUGAAGAUACCUUCCUGUGGGAGAAG
rnacentral:lncRNA from 10 species